CAGUAGCCGCGGUAAUACGAAGGGGGCUAGCGUUGUUCGGAUUUACUGGGCGUAAAGCGCACGUAGGCGGACUUUUAAGUCAGGGGUGAAGUCCCGGGGCUCAACCCCAGAACUGCCUUUGAUACUGGGAGUCUUGAGUUCGAGAGAGGUGAGUGGAAUUGCGAGUGUAGAGGUGAAAUUCGUAGAUAUUCGCAGGAACACCAGUGGCGAAGGCGGCUCACUGGCUCGAUACUGACGCUGAGGUGCGAAAGCGUGGGGAGCAAACAGGAUUAGAGACCCCUGUAGUCCCUGUCUCUUAUAC
rnacentral:rRNA from 1 species